rnacentral:lncRNA from 1 species
GUGCUUGAAAUUAUGCUGUCGUUUAAUAUCUGGUAUAGCAUAAGUGAUUCUUUCAUUGUUUUCAGAAAUUAUAUUGAAACAGAUGGAGCAAUGCAUGCUGGGAUUUGCACUCUUGCUUAAAGGAUGCCCAACAUGUCAUGUGACGCCAGGGGCGGUCAUCAGUCAUUUACAGCCAGAGGUGUGGGCGGAGUUUACAGGAGCCGUGUACACUUGGUCGGCUGUCCGUUGGUGUGAGUGUCUGUGUUUUAUGUUGUGUUGUGUUUGGACGUGACGUGUUGCAUCAUCUUGUAUUUUGAAAGUGAAGUGAUUGUCAUUGUGAAACACUGCAGCACAGCACACGGUGACACAACGAAAUGUGUCCUCUGUACUUAACUAUCACCUUGGUGAGCAGUGGGCACAAUGACAGGCGUGUGUGGGGACACACCGCUCCCCCAUGUACACAGCUGUGCAGUGUUGUAUUAUUAUGUCCAUUCAUUUACAGUAAUAAACAUGCUACUGAUUAGCAGAAUUUCUAGAUGAUGUUUUCAGCCUCAUUAGGUCCUCGAUUGUCUGAUCAAUAUAAAAAAUUGAUAAAACUAUUAAAUGUUAAAAUAUUGUUCCUUAUCGAAAGACAAUGAGGAAAUGAGCUCGUACUGGAUCUUCGGUGCUGAUGUUGUGUUCUUCAGCACCACAGAGAGCUCCUCACCAUCAACUCACUCACUGUACGUGCAGUAGAUGAAUCACAAAUGGACAGUUCCAUAAAGAAAUAUAUACAGGGUUCUAAAUCUGCUUCUUUAUACAGUUCCAGUACAUGUCCUGUAUAAAAGAUCUCAGUUUUGUUCUUUUCCUGUGUAAAUGUCCUGUGUUGAGUGGAGCGAGAGCUGCAGAUGAUGAUGACAGAUGGAGGGGUGGAACCUUACUCCAUUACACCCUCACCAGAGCGGGAGGGACGGAGAACAUCAGGAACCAGGAACACUUCCUGUUUCUCUCUCGCAUGUCUCUCUACAUCCAUCAGCGCUGAUCAUCCCUCCACCUGACUGGAAGCGACGCCUUGCUGGUGCACUGGGACCGGACUGUCACAUGCCAUCACGGCAGCGCGAGGAUCAUGUGUGAGGGGAGCGUUCUGCUGUCAUGUCCUAAUGGCGGCGUGAAUAAGUCAUGAGGAGAUGAUGGAGCUGCGCUUAUCUCGGCCACUCCUAAUGGCCGACCCUGAUCACAUGAUCCCAGUGCAUGAAAGCUCCUUGGUUGCUGAAUUACUGGAAUGAAGCAAGGUCGGUGGAGGUGGAGGGUGAUGGGAAACCUUAGGGCCUGCGUUCAUGUGGAUGAUGUUGGUGACCAAGUCCAUCCCUCCAUGGAAACGGUAUUCCCCGAUGGCAGGGCCCUCCUUGUGCCUGCAACACUGUAGAAAUGGCCUGAGGCUUCAAUCCAUUCAGGCAAAGUCCAAUCCAUGGAGGCACCAUGCACAACAAGAUCUGCUGCAGUCGUCACAUGACCGGUCCGGAUGAGAAGAACCUCAAACAACAUUAAUUCCGUGGAGACCUCUGUACAGAGAAGGUUCC